UCCACGGUUUCCUGCGAUUCUGACGGUGAAGUCCGACCGAGGUUCAGCGACGGGUGAAGCAACAGAUGCUCGCAUCUGAGAAGAACACCUAAAACCGAGUUGAUUGAAGGUUGUAAACUUCAUAUCUAGGGUUUACCCUAUUUCCAAAUCAGACGAUCGAAUCCGAGGUUUGAAUCUGCAAAAUCGAAGCUUGAUUUAAGGACACAGUGUUUGAUCCAGUGUCUCUCACAUGUGGCCAUAUCUUCUGCUACAUGUGU